rnacentral:rRNA from 2 species
AGACCCGAAACCCGGUGAUCUAGCCAUGGGCAGGUUGAAGGUUGGGUAACACUAACUGGAGGACCGAACCGACUAAUGUUGAAAAAUUAGCGGAUGACCUGUGGCUGGGGGUGAAAGGCCAAUCAAACCGGGAGAUAGCUGGUUCUCCCCGAAAGCUAUUUAGGUAGCGCCUCGUGAAUUCAUCUCCGGGGGUAGAGCACUGUUUCGGCUAGGGGGCCAUCCCGGCUUACCAACCCGAUGCAAACUGCGAAUACCGGAGAAUGUUAUCACGGGAGACACACGGCGGGUGCUAACGUCCGUCGUGAAGAGGGAAACAACCCAGACCGCCAGCUAAGGUCCCAAAGUCAUGGUUAAGUGGGAAACGAUGUGGGAAGGCCCAGACAGCCAGGAUGUUGGCUUAGAAGCAGCCAUCAUUUAAAGAAAGCGUAAUAGCUCACUGGUCGAGUCGGCCUGCGCGGAAGAUGUAACGGGGCUAAACCAUGCACCGAAGCUGCGGCAGCGACACUGUGUGUUGUUGGGUAGGGGAGCGUUCUGUAAGCCUGUGAAGGUGUGUCGUGAGGCAUGCUGGAGGUAUCAGAAGUGCGAAU